GAUGAACGCUAGCGACAGGCCUAACACAUGCAAGCCGAGGGGCAGCACAGAGGUAGCUUGCUACUUUGGGUGGCGACCGGCGCACGGGUGCGUAACAGGUGUGCAAUCUGUCCAUAAUCGGGGAAUAGCCCAGCGAAAGUUGGAUUAAUGCUCCAUGUGAGUAAGAGAGGCAUCUCUUUUAUUUGAAACGCAAGGAUUAUGGGUGAGCACGCUUCUGAUUAGGUAGUUGGUGAGGUAACGGCUCACCAAGCCGACGAUCAGUAGGGGUUCUGAGAGGAAGGUCCCCCACAUUGGAACUGAGACACGGUCCAAACUCCUACGGGAGGCAGCAGUGAGGAAUAUUGGUCAAUGGACGGAAGUCUGAACCAGCCAAGUCGCGUGAAGGAUGAAGGUUCUAUGGAUUGUAAACUUCUUUUGUCUGAGGGUAAAAAAGCGGACGUGUCCGCUCUUGCAAGUAUCAGACGAAUAAGCAUCGGCUAACUCCGUGCCAGCAGCCGCCGUAAUAC
rnacentral:rRNA from 1 species